UAUGUUUUAUGCUAAAAAUCAUUCAAAGUGUACUUGGGAAAGUCUGUUAUAAUUGUAACAAAGUUUGUGAUAAUAUGCAAAUGAGAGUACAGCCAAAAGACGGGAGGAGAGGAGGUGGCGAUGUCUCGCCUGUUGCUCUGUUGUGUGUUGGUUGCUUACUGCUUGUGGAUGGUUUGUUUAAACGUACAGAUUGUGUCUGUGGAUAAUAUUCUACUCUUGCAUUGUGAAUUAUUGUUAUUUGAAAGUGAAGUUUGUUUUAGGAAUUAUUCUUAUUUAUUACAGGCGAGAUUUCAGUCUUGUAAGUUGUUUUUCUUUUGCUUACUAAUAAAAAGUUACAAUUUGGUAAAUGGAGCAGUUUGUUGAUCUAAUUCGGCACUUGUUGGGGGCUAAUGAACUAAAUAUUCAAAUAAAAAUUAGCUUCGAUAAAAAGCCUGUUAGGCUGGGAUCACGGGGUCCGAACCGACGUGAAAACGUGGGCGAAGUCCCCGUUUUUACAACGUGAAGCAGUGAGAUAAAAAAUUAAGGUUUAUUAACGACAAAAGCGUUUUCGGUAUCAGCUAUACUAUCUUCAGUUGCACAUAACAAAACAAUAGAAUUAGAAGCGUUUUACAAAAAUUAAACAGUGG
rnacentral:lncRNA from 1 species